UGGGGGAUAUUGCGCAAUGGGGGCAACCCUGACGCAGCAACGCCGCGUGAAGGAUGAAGGUUUUCGGAUUGUAAACUUCUUUUAUUAAGGACGAAACUUGACGGUACUUAAUGAAUAAGCUCCGGCUAACUACGUGCCAGCAGCCGCGGUAAUACGUAGGGAGCAAGCGUUGUCCGGAUUUACUGGGUGUAAAGGGUGCGUAGGCGGCUUUGCAAGUCAGAUGUGAAAUCUAUGGGCUCAACCCAUAAACUGCAUUUGAAACUGUAGAGCUUGAGUGAAGUAGAGGCAGGCGGAAUUCCCCGUGUAGCGGUGAAAUGCGUAGAGAUGGGGAGGAACACCAGUGGCGAAGGCGGCCUGCUGGGCUUUAACUGACGCUGAGGCACGAAAGCGUGGGUAGCAAACAGGAUUAGAUACCCUGGUAGUCCACGCUGUAAACGAUGAUUACUAGGUGUGGGGGGUCUGACCCCUUCCGUGCCGGAGUUAACACAAUAAGUAAUCCACCUGGGGAGUACGGCCGCAAGGUUGAAACUCAAAGGAAUUGACGGGGGCCCGCACAAGCAGUGGAGUAUGUGGUUUAAUUCGAAGCAACGCGAAGAACCUUACCAGGUCUUGACAUCCAACUAACGAAGUAGAGAUACAUUAGGUGCCCUUCGGGGAAAGUUGAGACAGGUGGUGCAUGGUUGUCGUCAGCUCGUGUCGUGAGAUGUUGGGUUAAGUCCCGCAACGAGCGCAACCCUUGCUAUUAGUCGCUACGCAAGAGCACUCUAAUAGGACUGCCGUUGACAAAACGGAGGAAGGUGGGGACGACGUCAAAUCAUCAUGCCCCUUAUGACCUGGGCUACACACGUACUACAAUGGAUGUUAACAGAGGGAAGCAAGACAGCGAUGUGGAGCAAACCCCUAAAAACAUUCUCAGUUCAGAUUGCAGGCUGCAACCCGCCUGCAUGAGGAUGGAAUUGCUAGUAAUCGCGGAUCAGCAUGCCGCGGUGAAUACGUUCCC
rnacentral:rRNA from 1 species